UACGUAGGGACCGAGCGUUGUCCGGAAUCAUUGGGCGUAAAGAGCGUGUAGGCGGCCUGUUAAGUCUUGCGUGAAAUCUCGGGGCUCAACCCCGAGCGGUCGUGAGAAACUGGCAGGCUAGAGUGCGGUAGGGGUAGAGGGAAUUCCCAGUGUAGCGGUGAAAUGCGUAGAUAUUGGGAAGAACACCAGCGGCGAAAGCGCUCUACUGGGCCGCAACCGACACUCAUGGACGAAAGCUAGGGGAGCGAAAGGG
rnacentral:rRNA from 1 species